rnacentral:rRNA from 1 species
GAUGAGCGCUGGCGGCGUGCCUAAUACAUGCAAGUCGAGCGAACGGACGAGAAGCUUGCUUCUCUGAUGUUAGCGGCGGACGGGUGAGUAACACGUGGAUAACCUACCUAUAAGACUGGGAUAACUUCGGGAAACCGGAGCUAAUACCGGAUGAUAUUUUGAACCGCAUGGUUCAAAAGUGAAAGACGGUCUUGCUGUCACUUAUAGAUGGAUCCGCGCUGCAUUAGCUAGUUGGUAAGGUAACGGCUUACCAAGGCAACGAUGCAUAGCCGACCUGAGAGGGGGAUCGGCCCACCUGGAACUGGGACACGGUCCAGACCCCUACGGGAGGCAGCAGUAGGGAACCUUCCGCAAUGGGCGAAAGCCGAACGGAGCAACGCCGCGUGAUUGAUGAAGGUCUUCGGAUCGUAAAACUCUGUUUUAGGGAAGAACAUAUGUGUAAGUAACUGUGCACAUCUUGACGGUACCUAAUCAGAAAGCCACGGCUAACUACGUG